AUGAACACCGACACGUUGAACGCAUUAUUGCGCAUCGGACGUUUCAACCCGACCGAUGCACACAUCCUUGAGUGCCUAC
rnacentral:rRNA from 1 species